rnacentral:rRNA from 1 species
UGCGUAGGCGGCGCCGUAAGUCGGAUGUGAAAUCUUCGGGCUCAACCCGGAAACUGCAUUCGAUACUGCGGUGCUUGAGGACUCGAGAGGAGAUCGGAAUUCACGGUGUAGCAGUGAAAUGCGUAGAUAUCGUGAGGAAGACCAGUGGCGAAGGCGGAUCUCUGGAGAGUUCCUGACGCUGAGGCACGAAGGCCAGGGGAGCAAACG